GUCACUGCUUCAAAUGUGUUCAGGAAAGUCACUGGUCCUGGCCUUCUCUAACCCCUGAAGGCUCUUCUGGCCAUGUCCAAAGUGUGUGCUAUCUCUAGAGCUGGCCCUAUUACUACUGCCAUGUAGUGACUUGGGUGAGGGAGAGAUGCUUGUGGUAGGCAGAAAAGCUGGCCUGGAGGUCAUGAGAGUGGGAGAGCUGGCCCUGCCCCUCACCUACUGCAGCACUUGGGAGAGCAGGCCCUGCUCCUUUCCUGGGCAGCAUGGCAGAGCUUUUCCCUGGUCAUGUGGUAUUGGAUGGACUGGCUAGAGGUCAGGAGAGCAGGAGAGCUGGCCCUACCCCUCGCUGGCGGCAGCAUUGGGUGGGUUAGGUGGGGCAGUGCUGGAGAACACGUGCUUACUCACGGUGUGGGUGUGGGAGAGCUGGAGGGCUGACCAACUCAGCUCCCACUCAGACUCAGAUCCAGGGCUAUGAGUUGGCCCACCCCAUCAACUAUGCCAUGAACUGCUGGGCCAGUCCUGCAGAUCCAAAGCUGCAGGAUCUCCAUGACACAGGGCAACAACAGAGCAUCUGAGAGGAAUCCCAGUGAGGAUACAGUAUUGAUAGUGUAGCAGAAGCCUUGGAACCAGACCAAUGACUCACUGUAGUGAACAUUUGCAAGUAAAUAUGUGUGGGCAAAAGGGAAUACUGUGGGACACACUAUAGCAUACACACACACACAAACACACACACACACACACAUAUAUAUGUGUGUAUACACACACACACACAUAUGAGGCUGCAAGGGCAGAGGACAGAUACAAAGGGAUGGGGGAGAUAAGAGGGAUUAGGAUGCAUGAUGUGAAAUUCACAAAGAAUUAAUAAAAAGUUAAAAAAAAUAGGAACAUUGGCUGUUGACUCCUGUCUGCUUCCCUUCCCCACAGAGCGGGGACAUCAGACCCAGGUCACCCUCCAGCAGACUUCUGAGGCAAUGAAUGAACGAAGGGGAUUGGACUGCUUUGGCCUGGGCUCUGUCAUCUCUGACAGGGAGCCCUGAGUAGUCAUUACAAUAUCCGGAUGGCCCAUCUCCUUUCUCCUGGACACCAGGACCACUAACUUGAUCUUGUCAAAGUUUUGGGGACCUACCUCUCCUCAUUUUCCUAUUGUCAGGGUAUGGGCACAACCUUACCUGGUGCUCAAGAGCCUGAGAACCAGAUGGCCUGAGCCUUCCUGCAGACCCAGGGACCCACGAGACAGCUCUGGCUGACCCCAAGACCUCAGACUGUGCUCCCCCACCCCUGGAGCAGUGUCCCGCGGCUUCCUCAUAGCCCGAUACUUGCCAGGCACCUGCAUGAGGGCCCAAGCUUCUGAGACAGAAGGAGGGAUCUGAGCCACAUCCACUGGUGUCCUGUGAAGAAAAUGCCCGGUUGAGUACAGUGUGGCUAUCAUUUGGUCACCCUGUCACUCAUUUCCCCCCCCACCCCCCGACUGUACAGCUCAG
rnacentral:lncRNA from 1 species